rnacentral:rRNA from 1 species
UACGGGGGGGGGCAAGCGUUGUUCGGAAUUACUGGGCGUAAAGCGCGCGUAGGCGGCCCGGUAAGUCCGUCGUGAAAGUCAAAGGCUCAACCUUUGAAUGUCGAUGGAUACUGCCGGGCUAGAGUCCGGAAGAGGCGAGUGGAAUUCCUGGUGUAGCGGUGGAAUGCGCAGAUAUCAGGAGGAACACCAAUAGCGAAGGCGGCUCGCUGGGACGG